rnacentral:rRNA from 1 species
GACGAACGCUGGCGGCGUGCUUAACACAUGCAAGUCGAACGGAAAGGCCCUGCUUUUGUGGGGUGCUCGAGUGGCGAACGGGUGAGUAACACGUGAGUAACCUGCCCUUGACUUUGGGAUAACUUCAGGAAACUGGGGCUAAUACCGGAUAGGAGCUCCUGCUGCACGGUGGGGGUUGGAGAGUUUCGGCGGUUGGGGAUGGACUCGCGGCUUAUCAGCUUGUUGGUGGGGUAGUGGCUUACCAAGGCUUUGACGGGUAGCCGGCAUGAGAGGGUGACCGGCCACAUUGGGACUGAGGUACGGACCAGACUCCUACGGGAGGCAGCAGUGGAGAGUAUUGCACAAUGGGCGGAAGCCUGAUGUAGCGACGCCGCGUGCGGGAUGACGGCCUUCGGGUUGUAAACCGCUUUCGCCUGUGACGAAGCGUGAGUGACGGUAAUGGGUAAAGAAGCACCGGCUAACUACGUG